GAUGAACGCUGGCGGCGUGCCUAAUACAUGCAAGUCGAGCGAACAGACGAGGAGCUUGCUCCUCUGACGUUAGCGGCGGACGGGUGAGUAACACGUGGAUAACCUACCUAUAAGACUGGGAUAACUUCGGGAAACCGGAGCUAAUACCGGAUAAUAUAUUCAACCGCAUGGUUCAAUAGUGAAAGACGGUUUUGCUGUCACUUAUAGCUGGAUCCGCGCCGCAUUAGCUAGUUGGUAAGGUAACGGCUUACCAAGGCAACGAGGCGUAGCCGACCUGAGAGAGGGAUCGGCCACACUGGAACUGAGACACGGUCCAGACUCCUACGGGAGGCAGCAGUAGGGAAUCUUCCGCAAUGGGCGAGAGCCUGACGGAGCAACGCCGCGUGAGUGAUGAAGGUCUUCGGAUCGUAAAACUCUGUUAUUAGGGAAGAACAAAUGUGUAAGUAACUAUGCACGUCUUGACGGUACCUAAUCAGAAAGCCACGGCUAACUACGUG
rnacentral:rRNA from 1 species